rnacentral:rRNA from 1 species
UACGAAGGGGGCUAGCGUUGCUCGGAAUUACUGGGCGUAAAGGGCGCGUAGGCGGAUAUUUAAGUCGGGGGUGAAAGCCCAGGGCUCAACCCUGGAAUAGCCUUCGAUACUGGAUAUCUUGAGUUCGGGAGAGGUGAGUGGAACUCCGAGUGUAGAGGUGAAAUUCGUAGAUAUUGGGAAGAACACCAGUGGCGAAGGCGGCUCUCUGGACCGUAACUGACGCUGAGGCGCGAAAGCGUGGGGAGCAAACAGG